rnacentral:rRNA from 1 species
GAUAAACGCUGGCGGUGUGCCUUAUGCAUGCAAGUCGAACGGUCCCGAUUUAUCGGGAUAGUGGCAAACGGGUGAGUAACGCGUAAGUAACCUGUCCCUAAGUAGGGGAUAACUUUAAGAAAUUGGAGCUAAUACUGUAGCGGUGGUGGAGGUAAAGCUUCAUCACUAAAGCCUUAGGGUGCUUGGGGAGGGGCUUGCGUCCGAUUAGCUAGUUGGUAGAGUAACGGUUUACCAAGGUGAUGAUCGGUAGCUGGUCUGAGAGGACGAUCAGCCACACUGGGACUGAGACACGGCCCAGACUCCUACGGGAGGCAGCAGCAAGGAAUUUUGUGCAAUGGGCGAAAGCCUGACACAGCGACACCGCGUGAGGGAUGAAGGCCUUCGGGUUGUAAACCUCUUUUCUCAGGGAAGAAUAAUGACGGUACCUGAGGAAUAAGUCUCGGCUAACUACGUGCCAGCAGCCGCGGUAAUACGUAGGAGGCGAGCGUUAUCCGAAUUUACUGGGCGUAAAGGGGGCGUAGGCGGCCCUUCAAGUCGGGUGUGAAAUCUCCCCGCUUAACGGGGAGGGGUCAUUCGAUACUGUUAAGCUAGAGGACAGCAGAGGGAGGUGGAAUUCCCGGUGUAGUGGUGAAAUGCGUAGAUAUCGGGAGGAACACCAGUGGCGAAGGCGGCCUCCUGGGCUGUUUCUGACGCUCAGGUCCGAAAGCGUGGGGAGCGAACAGGAUUAGAUACCCUGGUAGUCCACGCCGUAAACGAUGGGCACUAGGUAUAGGGAGUAUCGACCCUCUCUGUGCCGAAGCUAACGCGUUAAGUGCCCCGUCUGGGGAGACGGCCGCAAGGCU